rnacentral:pre_miRNA from 1 species
GUGACAUUUUGCCUCUUACGGACAUCAUUAUUUGACUGUCGAUAGAUAUUGGUAACAUUAUUUUGGUAGUAUCACAGCCAAAUUUGAUGUCCUAAAUAAGGUAGUCAC